ensembl:lncRNA
UAAUGUUUAAGCUGAGCUGCUUGAGCUCCGUACUCUGUCAACCUGGAAACACUCCCGUCAUUGAACAAGCUCCACUAAUCCCUUACCACAGCAUAAGGGGAACUGUGUGGAUCAGACCCCCCACAUCUGAGAAAUACCCCCUGCCUGGCUGUGACUUCUGACCAGUUUAGGAGAAAGCAAGAGAAACUACACCAGAGCAAAGCCGCUGCCCUGCUGGCAUCAGCCCCAUGUUUCUGAGGACGUGUGAAAUUGAAGACGUCAAACUCCCAUUUGAAGGCAGGAGGGGUGGGUGGUGGUGUAAGUGAGUGGUUCCUGAAUGGUGUACCAGGAGGAUUUUAUAUUAGCUAUACUACAGCCUGUUCAAAACACUUAUGAGUAUAUGUGUCUUUGUGUUUUCAGUACAUGUCACAUUUUAAUUUAAUUGUACUUUUAAGGAGGUUUUUUUUUUUGUUUGUUUUUCUUUCUUAUCAAUGAAUACGAUUUUUAUGGCCUGAAAUAUUCUCUGAAAGCCCCCCAAAAAAGAAAAAAGAAAAACAUCAAGGGGAACCCUCCAAAUGACGGGAAUAAUAGAGUUUAAAAAGUUGGCAAGCCUCCCUGUAAAGCCAGAAAAUGAAGUAAUAAAUCAUUUAAAUUUUAAGUUUGUUUUAUUUUAUUUCUUUAAUUUUAAAAAUGAAAUUUUGGUUAAUGUUGUGGCACAUGGACAGUGGAAGACCUCUCUGCAUUGAAUCAUACUUGUUGUUAAUCUCUGGCUCUCUUCCACAGCAUGUCUUCAUCCUGUCUUCCUUCUCUCACCCCAACCGGUCGCAGCAGAUGGCCCCGCCCCUCCCUGAGCCUGUUCUGUCGGAGGUUUCUUCCUGUUAAAAGGGAGUUUUUCCUUCCCACUGUCGCCAAAGUGCUGCUCAUAGGGGGUUAUUGUUGGGUUUUUCUCUGUAUGUAUUAUUGUAGGCUCUACCUUACAAUGCAAAUACAUUUUUUUACAUGUUACAUUUCAUUACACAUGAUCAAGUCAAUGUGUUUAACACAGACACACACAAAGAAGCUAAAUGCUGGUUUAGUUCAAUGACUCCCACUUCUUUAAAGAUCUGUCUGCUUGAGGAAUCUCAAAAACAAACACUGAUUUCAGAGUGAUGCUCACGCUUACUGUCACAGUUCUGGGUCGGUUCGACCCAGUAUUUUGAGUUCUGAUGUUUUGGUUUAUUUUUGAAUGUUUGUUGUGUUUUUCGGGUGCUAUGAUCAUUAUUAUUAUUAUUCCAUGUUUCUGUUUAUUCGUGUUUCAGGAUUUGUGUCUCAUGUUUAGCAUUGAGUUCGAUGUGUUAUAUUCUGUCUGCCUCUCAGUGUCGUGUCUGCGACUUUGUGUAGUGUUUUCUUGUUUCCUGUUUUAUUGUGAAGGUCUGCGUCUCAUGUGAGUGUGUUUAGGUUACCUCCCUUGUCUCGUCUAGUUAAUUACUCCCAGCUGUGUCCCCCACCGGUGUGUAAUCUCCCUGUGUUUCUCUGAGUGUAUUUAAGUUGUGUCUUCUGUCAUUGUAGUUGCUGGUCCAUCUGUGCGUCCACCAUGCUCCAUCUGUGUGUUCUACCUGCUGUCAACCAUCAUUUGCCUCCGUCCAUCCUCCUUCAUGUUCAUGUCCUGGUUUGUGUUCAGUAGUUUAGAUAGUCUUCUGUCCCGUUUGCCGUUUCUCUUUUUGCAUUUUGUGUUCAAUAAACUACCUCACCUUCACGAGUGCCUGCGACUCGAUCCUCCUUUAAUAUUUCCACAUGGCUCAUCUCACUCGCCGUGACAGUUACACAGGCAGAGACUAGCAGCGAUGCUGUGGACAAUGACGUGUGAAACAACCUUUAGCAGGUAGAGAGCAGGUCUCAGGUUAAACUUACUUCUGUUUUGAGGUGAGGGAUUAAAAUGACAGUGAACAUGAUUAAAGGAAAUCGCAACUUAUUUCAUGGGAGAUAAGAUGACAGCCUACAUCCAUGUGCAUUUUUGUCAUGGUUGACAUGACACUGAGUUGUUUGUCAGCAUCAUGUAGAGGAUAAGUUUGUCUUAAAUUGUUUUUUUUUUUUUAUUAAAACCUGGUUACUUUUGCAAUUCCCACAAUUCCCUGUCAGCACCUAUUUCUGAUUGAAACACUUUGUGUGGCCUGCACAGAGCUCAUGCCGCACACUGUUGGUGCACACACACACACUCACACACUCACACACUGUCUCUUUCCUGAUAUUCCAAUAACUCAUAGGGAGUAGCAGAAUGUUAUUAUAGCCUGGAGGGCUUUCUCUCGUCAAAAUGGCCUCUGGGUACACACAUGUUUUUUGAGGUUUGGGUUUGUGUGCGUGUUUGUGUGCGUGUUUGUGUGCGUGUUUGUGUGCGCGCGGGCCUCAUUCUCAUGUAACAUUUCUUAGACUAACAUGAGUCAGUGCGUAAGAAUUUCAAAAGUCUUUAUGAGUGUUUGAGAUUCAUUUGGUCAUUGAUGCAGAGUGUGAGAAAUGAGUGUGUGACUGUGACGGCUGUGUCGGAACAGUUUAAAUGAUUUAAAAGACAUGUAUGAAAUAUGGGAGGUGGCAAAUGCGAUUUCUCAUCUCGUGACCAGGCCCUCCUGGCUGCAAAGUUUUUCUAUGAUUGUACCCGCGAGCCAAAAGUAAAAAAAAAAAAAAAAAAAGCAGUACAUUAAGUCGUGACUGAGAAUAAUGUCAGAGCAGUUAUGAGACCCGGCUCACAGCGCUUCACA